rnacentral:rRNA from 1 species
UACGUAGGGCGCAAGCGUUGUCCGGAAUUAUUGGGCGUAAAGAGCUCGUAGGCGGCUUGUCACGUCGGGUGUGAAAGCCCGGGGCUUAACCCCGGGUCGGCAUUCGAUACGGGCAGGCUAGAGUGUGGUAGGGGAGAUCGGAAUUCCUGGUGUAGCGGUGAAAUGCGCAGAUAUCAGGAAGAACACCCGUGGCUAAGGCGGCUCUCUAGUACGUGACUGACGCUGAGACGCGAAAGCGUGGGGAGCGAACAGG